UGAAACCCAAGGAGCCAUACUUACGAGUUUGCAAAAAAGAAAUCGUAUUCUCUAGGUUCACAGAAACAUGGGGUUCAUGUGGAGUUCAUGUGUCAAUCGGACGGCAAUGUAAAAUUUCCUAAAAUCGCAUAUUCUGCCUAUGAAAAUAAUAAGUUCCAGCCCCUUAAUUUUGCAGGACUACUUUGUAUUCCCAGAGUUGUUUAGUUCAGAGUUAUUCACAUGCGGAAAAUUUGCAUACAAAGCACUCUCACUUAAAAAUAAAAUCAAUCAUCCAGUGUGAGUGAUUGAACGCUACCGUCGUCUGCAUGUCCGCCAUUUUAGCUGUGUGAACAUGAAAAAAAUUUGUGCUCUGUUGUUUUUGAAAUUUUCCCAUUGUUUUGUGCAUCUAUACUAGCAAGGCCAAGGAAACAAAGUCCUAAUUUUCGCCUCAUCGCCGUCUUUGUCUUCGCCGCCAUCGCCUCGUCGCUGUCUUUGCCUGUGCCAUCGCCUCGUCGCUGUCUUUGCCUGUGCCAUCGCCUCGUCGCUGUCUUUGCCUGCACCAUCGCCUCGUCGCUGUCUUUGCCUGCACCAUCGUCUUGUCGCUGUCUUUGCCUGCCUCGUCGUCGUCUUCGCGUUCACCUCAUCGCCGUCUUCGCCUUCACCUCAUCGCCGUCUUCGCCUUCACCUUCACUUUCGCCAUUGUUUCAUUGCUGCCUUCGCAUUCGCCGUCAUCUCAUCGCUGUCUUCAACUUCGCCAUCGGCUCAUCUCCGUCUUCGUUGCUGCCUAUAUCUUCGUCUGUGGCCUACAAGGAUGGAACAAUCGGAUCCAGGAAAAAACUCAUGGUGAUUGAACAACCUCGCUGAGGUGCUUCCCUGGUAUAGUUUUGUGCUGUAUUUUUUUAUGUUGUGUUGUAUAGUUAACCCGUUGGCUGCCACCCCGUUUGUGCCCCAUUUUUUUUGUAGCUUACAGGGACCGGCCGCGCUGUUCUGCCUCAUGGUCUACAGCCAUGGGGUGGAGCAGUCGCAAUGGCCUCGCCGCAAGGCGCUUUAGGCAAUGCACCAUUAGGGACUUCUCCUUGUCGAUGCGGUGGCGGAUUCCUGAGGGUGUGCAUUCCCUGUAACGGAUUCCGUCACCGUGUCAGCCCGGACUUGUCUUCGGACAAGUCCCACUUGGUCGGUGAUCCUUCAGACACGAUGCGUAGCUAAUGUAGUUUAAGCAACCUACGGGUUGCGUGGCCUGGCAGCCAACGGGUUAACUAAUUUGUUGUAUGUAUUUAUGUGUGUGUGUGUAUGUGUGUAUGUAUGUAUGUAUGUAUGUCUACUUGUAUUUAUGUAUUGUUAUAUGUAAAACAGUGGAGGAAUUGAUGGGUGGAGGAGGGACAAUAAAAAAUUCAAUUUAA